ensembl:lncRNA
ACUGAACCAAAGGAGGGAGUUGUGGGAACCUCCAAUCUGUAGCCUCUGGGUUAGAAGCAUAGGAAACAACCUAAGCUUUCAACUGGCAUCUUCUGGGAAUGAGCCCUUAACCUGUGGAAUUCGAUGCCAUCUCCAGGUGGACAGAAUCAGAACUAUGUUGAAUUUUAGGAUGCUCACCUGGUGUCCAGGGAAUUACUUGGUGAUGAGGUGUGAGGAAAUCCCCCCAUCCCCACCACACACACAUUGGAAUUUGUGACCAGAAUUUUUAGUCACAUUUGCAGGUUCCGGCUGGAUGUGAAUUUUGGUGGGACACUAUUGAACCCAGUAAACGUAGUGAGAAAGAAAUGUAUUCUGAGACAGACCCAAGCUAAGGACAUUGUUGAGAAAGGCCUGGGUAAUUUUUCACACAGGGAUGUCCCCACCUAACAAUUUCCCAUUACUGUAGUAAUGGCUCUCCCCCAUGCUUUCCCCUCGCUCCUCUGCCUCCUGGCCAACUCUGGUACUUCUUCACGUGGCUCUGCAUGGUGUGGUGUGCCUCCUCCUCUUGGGAAUUGUAGAUUACUCCAUGUUUUUCAUAAACAUAGAAUCACAAAGAAGCCUUAGGCUGUUGGGAAGCAGAACAUGCUGGCUUACUAUUGCACAAAGACAAAGAUAUUCACCUGGAAGCAUACUCUACAACCAAAAGUCACACCAUCGAUAUUAUUAUCUGUUUGUUUGAGAUCUAUUGCCGUAAACUAUGGUCUGAAGCUUUCGGUUCCUCAAAGCUGAGUCAACAUUGUUGAAAAUCUUCAGUGGAUUUGAUAUAAACACUACCAAUGCAGACAUUUUAUGGAAGAAAAAGGCCUUGUUGUUAUGAUCAGUAGAGCAUCAUCUAGAAUAGUGAUGUGGAUGAAUUUCACCACUAGAGCACUAAAUUCACCCCUGAAAUAAUAACACACAAAACUCUGAGCCGAUAUUGAGUGUUAAGGAUGUCCUUUCAUGUUUCCUCAUGAAGAUGAAGAUUAACUGCGGCUUGCCAAGCAUUUACAGGAUAAUCUUGUUUUUACCUUCAAAAGGCACAUUAAAUGUGAUGAAGCCAGAUAGGCCAGCACUCGUAUUUGCAAUGUUAUCUCCUCUGGUGCAUACAUGCAGCUGAUGCACUUAUGCUGUUGGGGCACUUUAAUAGGUCACUCUAUCAGAAAAAAAGAUGAAGUGUUAAAGGCUGUAUUGGGGCCUGCUAAGUGUAAUCCAAUACAGUGGGUCUGAUCCUGUCGAGUGUGUGAGAUACCGCAGAGGUUGUUAGGCAGUCUGUAGAGCGAGCCCCCCUAAGCUCACUUGCUUCUGGUUUUGUGUGAUUAUAAAGCCCACAAGUCAGGGGCAUCCAGUCCAGUAUCACCAAGAAGGUGCCAACAAUACUGUCAAUGGAAUGAUGCAUUUCUGUCAGUUCCAAAGACUGAGAGAUGCUAUUAAAUGAAUCUCCUAAUUAGCUAUUUUAAAAACAGCUACUUGGAAUGAAUAUAGUUUUGUUGAUUUAAAAAAAAUGAAUCUGCAUAUAGUUCUAGCUUUCAGGAAAAUAUGUCAUUUGGAUGUCAUAAAUAUC